GAUGAACGCUGGCGGUGUGCCUAAAACAUGCAAGUCGAGCGGUAACAGGCUCACUAUUUUCUUGUCACCAUCAUCGAGAUGGAUUUUGAGGAGAGAAGAGUGAGCGCUGACGAGCGGCGGACGGCUGAGUAACGCGUGGGAACGUACCCCAAAGUGAGGGAUAACGCACCGAAAGGUGUGCUAAUACCGCAUGUGAUCUUCGGAUUAAAGUAUUUAUACGCUAUGGGAACGGCCUGCGUCGGAUUAGGUUGUUGGUGAGGUAAUGGCUCACCAAGCCGACGAUCCGUAGCUGGUCUGAGAGGAUGAUCAGCCAGACUGGAACUGAGACACGGUCCAGACUCCUACGGGAGGCAGCAGUGGGGAAUCUUGGGCAAUGGGCGAAAGCCUGACCCAGCGACGCCGCGUUGGGGAUGAAGCCCUUCGGGGCGUAAACCCAUGUUGUAGGGGACGAAGAAAGUGACGGUACCCUACGAGAAAGCCCCGGCCAACUACGUGCC
rnacentral:rRNA from 1 species